rnacentral:rRNA from 1 species
CCUACGGGUGUCAGCAGGGAAUCUUCGGCAAUGGUGGCAACCCUUACCGAGCAACGCCGCGUGAGUGAAGAAGGUUUUCGGAUCGUAAAACUCUGUUGUUAGAGAAGAACGUUAAGUAGAGUGGAAAAUUACUUAAGUGACGGUAUCUAACCAGAAAGGGACGGCUAACAACGUGCCAGCAGCCGCGGGAAUACGUAGGUCCCAAGCGCUGUCCGGAUUUAUUGGGCGUAAAGCGAGCGCAGGUGGUUUCUUAAGUCUGAUGUAAAAGGCAGUGGCUAAACCAUUGUGUGCAUUGGAAACUGGGAGACUUGAGUGCAGGAGAGGAGGGUAGAAUUCCAUGUGUAGCGGUGAAAUGCGUAGAUAUAUGGAGGAACACCGGAGGCGAAAGCGGCUCUCUGGCCUGUAACUGACACUGAGGCUCGAAAGCGUGGGGAGCAAACAGGAUUAGAUACCCUAGUAGUC